AUGGAAAACACUGGCCCCGAUGACCCAAACCAAGACAGCCCGAGGCCAUGCCUCACCUUGGGAUCUCUCCUGCCACCUCCGCCAGAGGAGGGGUCUCGGCCCCACGCAGCCUGGCCUGGCCUUCGGCUUCCACCCUAUAAGGGAGACCCAAGAGACAAGGUGACACCCACAGUGAGACGCCAUCGACUGGGCUCCUCGGGCGGUCGGCGCUGCCCCGUUGGGCUCGAGGAUGGAAAGGCAGGAAGAGAAAGGCCCCGUUUCCUUGCGAGUGGACCUCAGAGUUCCAGACACACAUUAUUCGUCAUCGAUGCCUCAUACGCUGGCAUUGAUCAUCAUCGAUCCAGAAAAGGGGGACCUUCUCUUCCUUCGCCAUGGCCCGUGGAGUCAGGCAUUCCUCCCCGCACGGCCACUGGGCAACCCAAGGGGCCCGCCCCACCCAACGAGGCCUCGCCAUCCCUCGGGGGGGCCUCUAGGACCCGUCCCCUGGCUUUCGGUCUCUCUGGGCCGCGGAGGACCAGCUGGGCCCCUGUGCAGGACGUCCAAGAGACCUUCCUAGCCAGAGCUGUCCCAUCCCUGGGACGCCAGAGCCCUUCUGGACUGCUGGCCUCGCCCGCAUCUGCCGCCCACCCUCCACCAGCCCCUCGCACUGCCCUGCCCAGCCCAGCCCCGACAAGCCCUGGGAUGCUGCUCACACUGGCCUUCUGGAUCCAGAGACAACGCUGCCAUCCUCGCCUGCUCAUCCAGGAAGGAGCCUG
rnacentral:lncRNA from 9 species